rnacentral:tRNA from 1 species
GCCGAAGUGGCGGAAUUGGCAGACGCACUGGACUCAAAAUCCAGCGAGGUUCACCCCUCGUGCGGGUUCGACUCCCGCCUUCGGCACCA